rnacentral:rRNA from 1 species
GACGAAGGGGGCUAGCGUUGUUCGGAAUUACUGGGCGUAAAGCGCGUGUAGGCGGUUGUCCAAGUCGGGUGUGAAAGCCUUGAGCUCAACUCAAGAAAUGCACUCGGUACUGGGUGACUCGAGGACCGGAGAGGAUAGUGGAAUUCCCAGUGUAGUGGUGAAAUACGUAGAGAUUGGGAAGAACACCAGUGGCGAAGGCGGCUAUCUGGACGGUUUCUGACGCUAAGACGCGAAAGCGUGGGGAGCAAACAGG